GCUACAGGAAGACAGCAAGGGAAUCCAGACUGAGCAAAGACUAAAACAUUAGAAAUGAAACCAUCAAAGAUUUGAAAAAAUGGGCGAAUUUUUUUUUAGUCUGAGAACUUUUGAAGUAAGGCACCCCUCAAGGAAGCUAGAUCAGAUCUGACCACUUAAUUUACAACCUCUAGAUGGCAAAAGUCAAACUGGGAAAGGAAAAAAGAAAACACAAUACAUGACAGAGAAAUGUGUCAUUGCCUUAAUAUAAAGGAACUCACAAAUCAGUAACAAAAACUUCAAAAGCCUAAAAACAGAAAAUUGACAUCAAUAGGUUCUUAAGAGAAAUAUGUAAGAAUUAAAAGCCAGGAAAAUAUGCUCAAUCUCACUUACAAUUAAAGAAAUGCAAAUCACAUUAUCACGUGUCACCAACUAGACAGACAAAGACGAAAAAGUCGGCUAACAGUGUUGGCAAAGGCGUGGGGAAAUAAGGACUCCACACCCCACUGGUUAGAGCAGAAUGGGCACAGCCUCUUCGGGAGAACUGGCAAUAGCUAUGGAAGCUUAAAGUAAAGCCUUUGAGCCAGAUGCCCCAUUUCUAGGAAUUGAUCUCAACGAACACACAGGUGUAGGUAGAAGGAUGUUCAUUCUAAGAAAAUUUAGGAUAGAGUGCAAAUGGAGAACUGGUUAAAUAAACCAUUUUCAUCCAUUCAAUGAAUACUGUGUAGUUGCUUAAAAAAAACAACAAAAUAAACUGGAUCUAAUAAAUGUUCAUAUGAAAUAAAAUCUAAAGUACAUUCAAUGAAAAGGCAAACCAUGGCCGGGCGCGGUGGCUCACGCUUGUAAUCCCAGCACUUUGGGAGGCCGAGGCGGGCGGAUCACAAGGUCAGGAGAUCGAGACCACGGUGAAACCCCGUCUCUACUAAAAAUACAAAAAAUUAGCCGGGCGUGGUGGCGGGCGCCUGUAGUCCCAGCUACUCGGAGAGGCUGAGGCAGGAGAAUGGCGUGAACCCGGGAGGCGGAGCUUGCAGUGAGCCGAGAUUGCGCCACUGCACUCCAGCCUGGGUGACAGAGCGAGACUCCGUCUCAAAAAAAAAAAAAAAAAAAAAAAAGAAAAGGCAAACCAGUAAACAGUAUGUACAACACGUUCUGUAAGAAAAGGCUGUAAGAACACACACGUGCACUUGCAUAGAGCCCAUCUCAUUUACAUAAACUAUUACCAGCAGCCAAGUCUCAGCCCACCUCAGCCUCGCCACUCACCUGUCCACAGUGUAGGGAGUGAGGUGGACCCGGUAAGGAGGCAGGUCAUGCCUUGGCUUCUUAGCACCCCAGGGCUCUCCACCAGCCCGCUGUUUGCGCUUCUUGGAGUCAUAGUCAUCACUAGAGGUUGACCCAUCACCAACAGUAAGAAACCACAUUGUUAUAUGUAUUCAAUACAUACUGAACUAAAAGAACUGGAAACAAUCGAAAUCCCUCAUAUUCAAUAAAUGGAAAAAGAAGCCAUGCUAACAGCCAUAUGACAGAAUGUUACAAAGAUAUUAAAAUGGACAUUUACACUCUUUUAAUAAACAUUCCUGUUAAGCAAAAAGCACACUCUGCAACACUGUAUACACAGUAGGCCUCAGCUACUGCAAAAACAACUUUAGAAGACUGAAAGGAAAUAAAAUACUAAUGGUGGAAGCCUCUGGAAAGCUUACGAAUAACUUUCUGUUUUUCUGCACUUCAUUAAUUAUAGUUAACAUGAUCUUUUUGAAAUGAGAAAAAAACUGAUUUUUCUUUUAAAAAUAAGAGGCACAUAUAUGGAUCCAUGCUAUGCGUUCUAUAAAGUAAAUUUUAUUAGAAGAGACAGUUACAAGGCCGGGCGCAGUGGCUCACGCCUGUAAUCCCAGCACUUAGGCCGAAGUGGGGGGAUCACUUGAGAUCGGGAGUUUGAGACCAGCCUGGCCAACAUGGUGAAACCCCGUCUCUACUAAAAAUACAAAAAAGUAGCCAGGUGUGGUUGCACACGUCUGUAACCCCAGCUACUCGGGAGGCUGAGGUAGGAGAAUCGCUUGAACCCGGGAGGCGGAGGUGGCAGUGAGCCGAGAUCGCACCAUUGCACUCCAGCCUGGGCGACAGAGCGAGACUCUGUCUCACCAAAAAAAAAAAAAAAAAAAAAAAGAGACAGUUACAAAUCCUUAAUAAUACACAUUAAAGUCAUAAAAACACUCAAACCAUUUGCUCCAAUAAUUACACUCUUGAAAAUUUGUCCCAAGAAAGUUAAUUCCAAAGAAGAAGAAAGGCUACACAUAGUGUGGAAAAAUAUGAAGCAGCAUAAACUGAGAGUAAAAAACCAAAUACAUACUCAGCAAUACCCAAAUGUUCAUAGUAAAUAAAAACAAUCCCACAGCCAUUAAAACACUCAGGAUUAUGCUACAAUAUGGAAAACUGUUUAUACAUACACAAAAAUAAUUUGAACUCUAAGUAUGCACAUGUAUGGAUAAAAACUAGAACACAGGAGAAAAGAGUGGCAAGAGAUUUUCCUUUUCAAAAUUAUUUUCUAAAAUUCUUUAAUACCUACCUGUUAAUAAGUUACCUUUAAAGAGAAAGAAGGUAGAAACCAUACAUAUUUUUACAUACACACACACUUUUUUUUUUUUUGCGACAGAGUCUUGCUGUGUUGCUCAGGCCAGGAGUGCACUGGCGUGAUCUCGGCUCACUGCAACUUCUGCCUCCCGGGUUCAAGCAAUUCUCCUGCCUCAGCCUCCCAAGUAGCUGGGAUUACAGGUACCCACCACCAUGCCCAGCUAAUUUUUGUAUUUUUAGUAGAGUCGGGGUUUCACCAUCUUGGCCAGGCUGGUUUUGAACUCCUGACCUCAAGUGAUCCGCCCACCUCAGCCACCCAAAGUACUAGGAUUACAGGCAUGAGCCACCGCGCCCAGCCUACGUAUUUAUAUUAAUUUUAUAUAAUAGCAUGUACUGCUUUACACAUUUUUAUAAUGUCACUACAGUAUUACACUAUAAGUGCAACAGAUAUGGGUACAAUAAAUAAAAAUACUUAAGAAGAAAAAACCUUUAGACCAUUCAUUAUAAAGUGCCAGACUGAUAAGGGGAAAACCCCCCAUGUCACAUGAGAGAAAUAAAAUCCACUGUUGCUUCUCUGUGCCUGGGUAACUGAGUUGAUUGUAUUCACCAGAAGGUUUUUGUUCUGCCUUUUAGACCUGCCUGGGUGAUUUCCCUAUUCACACCCCAGUGACUAAGCUGAACAGAUUUAUCAUGACUCCUGUUCUUUUCUGUCGGCCUUGGUCACUUCCAUGUGCAUGAGCAUCUCCAUCCAAAAGUGGCCUUCUUCCCUAGCCCCAGUGGGAUGUCAGUAGCCCAUAUUUCUAAUAGAAGACCCAUGCCAAAGCCACUUUGACAACUCUCCAGCUCACAGUAAUGCUGUCAGCCUCUAGCUAAACUUAUGAUCCACUCAACGCUGUACACUGUGUGGCCACUUUCCUCCGCUUCCUGUACAUUGUCAGGAGGUCAUAAGGCAGCACCAGGGGCUGACCUCUCAGGACCCACAGCAGCAGAGCCCAGCUGGGUACACCUGUCUAAAAACCACAGCUCAGCAGUAGCUGCUCAAUGGAGAUAUUGUUCUCUGCAUCCCAAAGCCAGGAAUUCAAAAUAAAGCUUGGCUUCCGUGCAAAACA